AUAAACUAUAGGCUCCUAAUGCAUGAUUUUAUUUUAUACUUCUCUCUACAUGUACUUUCAUGUCUUAAAAGAUGGAAAAUCAUUUCUUUUUUUUUCCCUUUGACAGAAGACUGAUUUUACGCAAAGCAUACGAGAUUGGCGCAACCAGUGCAAAACUAUACUUUUGAACAUCCCUUUAACUCCACCUGCUGUUUAACCUCCCCGACAGUCGCUCAUAAAAGCCAGCAGAAACCUUUAUUGCACUGAUGUAAAGAGAUCCAAUCAAGCCCUAAUGGCAAUUUGGUGGUCACUCUUCACUGACCUUGACAUGCCUUGUUUAAAGUCUUCUGCUUCUUCCCUCCACAUGACUUGUGCUGAGGCUUAACGAUUUCUAGAGGCAUUCUUCUUGUAGAAACCCUCACAGAAUCAGCAAGAGAGACAAGAAUAUGUCAACAUUCCUUGCAAAAGGAAACAGUGUGAUGACCUACUUAUCAAGCAAUGGCCAAAUCAGGAUUUUUUAAAAUUUAUUUAACACUUUCUUUAUGGUCAGUGUAAUUUUGAAUAAGAACAUUAGAAAGGAAAAUUUUCCUGUUAGCAUGCUAUCUGUUUUCUGCAUGGCUGAUGUAUGCUGCGAAUGCAUUUAGCUUAAUUAAAUUUAGCCUGGUGAUUAAAUGCUGAGCUGUGCAUUUGGAACGUCCCUAAAAUCGUACAGUGCUACUGAAAACAAGAGUAGAUCUGCAGGAUAUGCAGGGUAGCGGACAAGGGUUGCUUGAUAUAGACACUUGAAGCCAUGAUUUUUACAAAGGGCUAGAGAAGGAGGCACAAGAGGCAGCUUUUAAUGGACAAAGAGUUUAACGGAUUGAUAUCAAACUACCGGCAGAGAAUGCUGGUGUAAAGUGAUAGGUUAGUGCGAGAAUAGGAAUUUUUUUUAAAAAAAAGCUACUUCAAACAUGCAGUCAGGGAAAUGAAGACUGAAUAACCUAUUCAUAAAAAGUCACAAAUAUCAGCAUCCCCCAUUUGAUCAUUCACUAUUUACAAUCCAUAUGAGUCCAUAGGGUAUAGGGUCUAUAAACCAAACGUUCACUGUGCAGAAAGGGGGAAAAACCAUGUACAUGAUGCUACCACCAAGUUGACCAAAAUAAAAUUCCGGGGUACUUUCUUUGGGAGAAUACUUGGUGCUGUUUUUUAACACUCUGCUUCAUAACUUUUCUAGUGGAAUCACAGAUAAAAAAUUAAUAAUAUAAAAUAUACUUUUGUCUCUGAUUAUGCAUCGCACACAUGCUUAAUGUGACUGGUGCAUCGUGACAAGGUUGUGAGCGACGCAGGGAUUCAUUGGGUACAGAGAUUAUGUAUUACGAGCGUAGCAAUAGCUUUGUGUUUCUACGUAAAUAAGUAUUUAAACUUGGAUGGGACUCUAGACCCAGCAAGUGAGUUCACAGAUUAAGAGCUACUAUUCAGAAUCGUAAUCUAGAGAUUCACCUUAUCUUCUCUCUGUCCAGAGGGAAAAAGCAAGACAUUUAACUGCAAUUCCUUGCCUGGUCCCAUGGCAUCACAGAUAAUAAGAGGGAUUUGGUGGGUGAUCUCUCUUUCAGGUCAAUCUGUGGAUACUCCACGUAUGCUACUGAGAAUAUAAUCGCUUGUAUGUACCAGAGACCUUAAUUUUUCAGUGCACCUUCACUAAAGAUCACAUCACCUGCUCCCAGCACCUGUACGGCUGCAGGGACAUUGUGCAUUGUUCUGUGAUAUACAGACAAUGUUACAAUGAAUUCUUACAUCUGGUAUUGGAAUCUUGAUCUUGAAUAUGCGGUGGGCUGGACAUGACCAUAUUAUCCACCCCAAAGGCAGUCUAACCAGCCCAAGUGAAAUGGGGGUAAAAAUUUUAGCCAGCAUGGCUUAAAAAUGAACUGGUCAUUAUGUGCCUAAUCUAAAAGUAAAAUACAAAAAAAGGGGUGCUAUCCUUCAACCCCCCAUAAAAUGUAUUUGUCAACAUUCUAAGUCUAAAAAUCUGUGAAGUUCCAGUUAUUAUGGUACAAUUCCUUUUUAUUACAACAUUGUUUAAACAGGAGGACUGUAUAUAAAUGCAAAUUUAGGGGUACUCUCAGGUUGCAAAUAUAAUGCAGUUUUCCAUCUUAUUUCAUGAGUUUCAGUGUUCGUUAUAAAUCAUACAUAAAGAGGACUGUGUUGGUAUUUUUUGGAGCUACGUCCUCUGAGAAAACGUAACUUUCUACUAUUUUGUUUUUAUUUCAUUAUGUGAUCAGGCCGUGUGCAGUUAGGUACUGAUUGCCAAAUAGGUUUUGAUACUAUACGGAUGCGUGUUUAUUGCUGGGGAAAAAACAAAAGUACUGAUACGAAGGAAGGGCAUCUAUAUUAAGCUAUCAAAAGGGAUUUCAUAGAAAAAUGUAAAACAGACCACAGUACCGUUGUAUGGUAUUGUAAGAAAAUAAAUCAUACAAAAACCCUGUAUUACAUAGAUAUGAAAUAUUUCAUAAAUAAUUCAUCAACCUGGUUUAGUUUGGCCCCGGG